rnacentral:rRNA from 1 species
AGUCGAACGAUGAAGCCCAGCUUGCUGGGUGGAUUAGUGGCGAACGGGUGAGUAACACGUGAGUAACCUGCCCCUGACUCUGGGAUAAGCCCGGGAAACUGGGUCUAAUACCGGAUAUGACUUUUGACCGCAUGGUUGAGGGUGGAAAGAUUUAUCGGUUGGGGAUGGACUCGCGGCCUAUCAGCUUGUUGGUGAGGUAAUGGCUCACCAAGGCGACGACGGGUAGCCGGCCUGAGAGGGUGACCGGCCACACUGGGACUGAGACACGGCCCAGACUCGUACGGGAGGCAGCAGUGGGGAAUAUUGCACAAUGGGCGCAAGCCUGAUGCAGCGACGCCGCGUGAGGGAUGACGGCCUUCGGGUUGUAAACCUCUUUCAGUAGGGAAGAAGCGAGAGUGACGGUACCUGCAGAAGAAGCGCCGGCUAACUACGUGCCAGCAGCCGCGGUAAUACGUAGGGCGCAAGCGUUAUCCGGAUUUAUUGGGCGUAAAGAGCUCGUAGGCGGUUUGUCGCGUCUAUCGUGAAAGUCCGAGGCUCAACCUCGGAUCUGCGGUGGGUACGGGCAGACUAGAGUGAUGUAGGGGAGACUGGAAUUCCUGGUGUAGCGGUGAAAUGCGCAGAUAUCAGGAGGAACACCGAUGGCGAAGGCAGGUCUCUGGGCA